rnacentral:rRNA from 1 species
AUUGAACGCUGGCGGCAUGCUUUACACAUGCAAGUCGAACGGUAACAGGGAGCUUGCUCCGCUGACGAGUGGCGAACGGGUGAGUAAUAUAUCGGAACGUACCCAAGAGUGGGGGAUAACGUAGCGAAAGUUACGCUAAUACCGCAUACGAUCUAUGGAUGAAAGCAGGGGACCUUCGGGCCUUGUGCUCCUGGAGCGGCCGAUAUCUGAUUAGCUAGUUGGUGAGGUAAAGGCUCACCAAGGCGACGAUCAGUAGCUGGUCUGAGAGGACGACCAGCCACACUGGAACUGAGACACGGUCCAGACUCCUACGGGAGGCAGCAGUGGGGAAUUUUGGACAAUGGGCGCAAGCCUGAUCCAGCAAUGCCGCGUGAGUGAAGAAGGCCUUCGGGUUGUAAAGCUCUUUUGUCAGGGAAGAAACGGCUGUGGCUAAUAUCCACGGCUAAUGACGGUACCUGAAGAAUAAGCACCGGCUAACUACGUGCCAGCAGCCGCGGUAAUACGUAGGGUGCAAGCGUUAAUCGGAAUUACUGGGCGUAAAGCGUGCGCAGGCGGUUUUGUAAGUCUGUCGUGAAAUCCCCGGGCUCAACCUGGGAAUUGCGAUGGAGACUGCAAGGCUAGAAUCUGGCAGAGGGGGGUAGAAUUCCACGUGUAGCAGUGAAAUGCGUAGAGAUGUGGAGGAACACCGAUGGCGAAGGCAGCCCCCUGGGUCAAGAUUGACGCUCAUGCACGAAAGCGUGGGGAGCAAACAGGAUUAGAUACCCUGGUAGUCCACGCCCUAAACGAUGUCUACUAGUUGUCGGGUUUUAAUUAACUUGGUAACGCAGCUAACGCGUGAAGUAG